AUAGGCUAUAUAACAUCACGCUGCGAACAAUAGGAGCGAAGAAACAGUGGUAAAUGUGUAAAAAACGAGGGAAAUUAUUUAUCUUUGAGGGCUUCCGUUCCUUGCGCUGCGAAAGCGGUUCAAGAUACACAAAAGUUAUGUAUGAAAGAAUUAUUUCUCUUUUAAUGAUCUAAAAAAAGUCCAUGACUACCGUUUUUGUGAUAAUUAAUUUGGUCGAAAUUAUUUGUUAGAGUUGUAUUAACAUAAUAAUAUUAAUUUUUCUAUAUUUAUUGUUAUUUUCUUCCUUCGCUGCAUGAAGUAUAAAACUAUUCAAAUUUUUGAGAAAAUGCCUCGGAAGCGAAAAUCUGGUAUAUCCAAAAUGGCAUGGUAGUUUUAUUGACUGGUGAUUUCCGUCAAACCCUCCCAGUGAUUCAGAGGGGGACACCAGCAGAAGAAAUUCAAGCGUGCAUUAAAUCAUCACGCUUAUGGUCAACAGUUGAAAAACUCCGCCUGAAAACUAAUAUGAGAGUGCAUCUUCAAAAUGACGUGGAUUUAGGACUUUACGCAGAAAUGUUGUUGAAAAUUGGAGAUGGUUGUUAAGCUGUUGACGUUGAAGGCUAUAUAUUACUGUCAAGAGAAUUUUGUAAUUUAGUAGAAAGUGAUGUGGAUUUCAUUGCUGAUGUUUUUCCGGAAUUGCAACAAAAUUUGUGUAGUGAUCAGUGGUUGUGUGCAAGAGCAAUAUUAGCACCAAGAAAUGAAAUUGUUAAUAGGAUCAACACUGAUAUUUUAAACGAGGUUCAAGGAAAACUGAAGGAAUAUUUGUCAAUGGAUACAAUUAUAGAUACGGAACUAAGUACUUCAUAUCCUGUGGAGUUUUUAAAUUCACUUGAACUGUAGGGUGUACCGUCACAUAAACUUCAAUUGAAACUAAAUAUACCAGUAAUGCUUAUGCGAAAUCUAGAUGCUCCUCUGCUAUGUAAUGGAACAAAGCUUCGGAUAACAAAAUUGGGACAGAACAUACUUGGUGCUACUAUUUUAACAGGUGUCGGGUUCAGUUUCCCGUCAAGCUUAGCUUUGCUGUUACUAUAAACAAGGCACAAGGACAAACAUUACUGGUAGCAGGAGUGCAUUUAGAAACUCCAUGCUUCUCUCAUGGUCCACUUUAUGUAGCCUGUUCACGUG